rnacentral:rRNA from 1 species
GAUGAACGCUGGCGGCGUGCCUAAUACAUGCAAGUCGAGCGAGUGGCGGACGGGUGAGUAAUGCCUGGGAAACUGCCCGCUGGAGGGGGAUAACCACUGGAAACGGUAGCUAAUACCCCAUACCAUCGGAUUUUCCCAGAUGGGAUCAGCUCGUGGGGGGGGUAAUGGCUCACCUAGGCGACGAACCCUAGCUGGUCUGCGAGGAUGACCGGCCACACGGGAACUGAGACACGGUCCAGACUCCUACGGGAGGAAGCAGUGGGGAAUAUUGCACAAUGGGCGAAAGCCUGAUGCAGACAUGCCGCGUGUAUGAAGAAGGCCUUCGGGUUGUAAAGUACUUUCAGCGAGGAGGCGUUACUCGCAGAAGAAGCACCGGCUAACUCCGUGCCAGCAGCCGCGGUAAUUC